AUAAGCACUUGUACUGUGAAACUGCGAAUGGCUCAUUAAAUCAGUUAUCGUUUAUUUGAUUGUACUUUACUACAUGGAUACCUGUGGUAAUUCUAGAGCUAAUACAUGCGAAAAAUCCCGACUUCUGGAAGGGAUGUAUUUAUUAGAUUAAAAACCAAUGCGAGUCUUCGGGCUCGUUUUCUUGGUGAUUCAUGAUAACUUUUCAAAUCGCAUGGCCUAACGCCGGCAAUAUUUCAUUCAAAUUUCUGCCCUAUCAACUGUCRAUGGUAAGGUAGUGGCUUACCAUGGUUAUAACGGGUGACGRAAAAUUAGGGUUCAAUUCCGRAAAGGRASCCUGAAAAACGGCUACCACAUCUAAGGAAGGCASCAGGCUCRAAAAUUACCCAAUCCCAAUUCGGGRAGGUAGUGACAAAAAAUAACRAUACGGGGUCUUAAUAGGUCUCGCAAUUGGAAUGAGUACAAUUUAAAUCCUUUAACAAGRAUCAA
rnacentral:rRNA from 1 species